GACUGAGUGGCGGACGGGUGAGUAACGCGUGGGUAACCUGCCUUGUACAGGGGGAUAACAGUUGGAAACGGCUGCUAAUACCGCAUAAGCGCACAGCAUCGCAUGAUGCAGUGUGAAAAACUCCGGUGGUAUAAGAUGGACCCGCGUUGGAUUAGCUAGUUGGUGAGGUAACGGCCCACCAAGGCGACGAUCCAUAGCCGACCUGAGAGGGUGACCGGCCACAUUGGGACUGAGACACGGCCCAAACUCCUACGGGAGGCAGCAGUGGGGAAUAUUGCACAAUGGGCGAAAGCCUGAUGCAGCGACGCCGCGUGAGCGAAGAAGUAUUUCGGUAUGUAAAGCUCUAUCAGCAGGGAAGAUAAUGACGGUACCUGACUAAGAAGCACCGGCUAAAUACGUGCCAGCAGCCGCGGUAAUACGUAUGGUGCAAGCGUUAUCCGGAUUUACUGGGUGUAAAGGGAGCGCAGGCGGUGCGGCAAGUCUGAUGUGAAAGCCCGGGGCUCAACCCCGGUACUGCAUUGGAAA
rnacentral:rRNA from 1 species